rnacentral:rRNA from 1 species
CAGUCGCCGCGGGAAUACGUAGGUCCCGAGCGUUGUCCGGAUUUAUUGGGCGUAAAGCGAGCGCAGGCGGUUAGAUAAGUCUGAAGUUAAAGGCUGUGGCUUAACCAUAGUACGCUUUGGAAACUGUUUAACUUGAGUGCAAGAGGGGAGAGUGGAAUUCCAUGUGUAGCGGUGAAAUGCGUAGAUAUAUGGAGGAGCACCGGUGGCGAAAGCGGCUCUCUGGCUUGUAACUGACGCUGAGGCUCGAAAGCGUGGGGAGCAAACAGGAUUAGAUACCCCGCGUAGUCCCUGUCUCUUAUAC